AAAAUAUGACCAAGUUAAAGAGCUGGCCUAUGGAUUCAGAGUUCAGAAUGUCUACCAGAAAUCUUUGCUGUAGGACAGCUAUAGCUAUGCUCAGCAAGACCCAAGUAGCAGAAAGUCUGUCUUAAUUCUAUGAAAAAAAAGAAUACCAACAGUCAACAACCAAUGUGAUUAAUUUGGCCAAUGCAAGGAACACAUGAAAUCUUCAGUCCUAGUUUCCAACUUCUCCAAGAAUAACACCACUGGAAACUUGCAUCACUUUCCUUUGCUUUAGGCAAUGCUAGUGCACCAUACUGUAAUGAUCUAUUAACAGAGUUUCACAAGGCCAACAGAAAUUAAUAAAGAGAAGAGUACAACCCAUCUCCUACUGGUCUGGAAGUGUAUUGACAUCCCAAGCUACUACUGUAAAAUGUCAUUGAGAAAUGUAUCGUGGUAGCAUGUUUUUCCCCAAAGGAAAAGUCAUCUACAACUCAGAUGCAAAGUGUUAUGUGUCUCCUUCCAUGCAAAAAAUUUCAAACCCUGUUCCACUCCACAAUAGCAGAAGAAUAUUGAGCUCCCAGAAGUGAUGCAGCAGCCAAAGGAAGCACAGAUGCAAGCCCUGAGCCUGUGAAUUACAGCGAGAACCAGCUGCAGUCACUAUUGUGAUGAACAGAUAAGGGAGGUGCAAUGUCUGCCUUACAAAUAAAGGCACUUUCUAAUGAUUACUUUAAGCAAAUGUUAAAUCAAGAAUUAAACCCCGGAGUGCCUGGUUGGCUCAAUGGGUUGGGCGACCAACUUCGGCUCAGGUCAUGAUCCCAUGGUGGUCCAUGGGUUCGAGCCCCACAUCAGGCUCUGUGCUGACAGCUCAGAGCCUGCAGCCUACUUCAGAUUCUCUCUCUCUCUCUCUCUCUCUCCCUCUCUCUCUGCCUCUCCCCUGUUUGUGCUCUUCUAUCAAAAAUAAAUAAACAUUAAAAAUUAAAAAAAAAAAAAAGAAUAAAGCCCCUAAAGGAAAAACUAGACACUCCAAUAGAGAUCAGAUCUUAAGAGAUCUUCACUUUGGUGAAGUGGAACCAAUCACUGAUAUUUGGGCCUGUUAUAUAUCCUGUAUUGCUUCAUCAAAGAUGUUUCACCAAUUUGAAAUCACUCCUUGUUCCAGUAUGAUGCUCCCCUUCUGUCAUCUGUGAUAUAUGGAUUUCUGGAGUGCAGGCACCCUAUCUCAUUAUUAGACUCUUGGGAUCCUACUCUCCAGAGCUGGUAAAAUGAAGGAUACAGCCCACUCUCUGAAUUCCUCCUUGAAGAACUUAUUUAUUUCUGUCCAAAAGUGCUACAAGUUACUCCAGGAGGCUGAUAAUUAUAGAAGGCAGUUGCAGUGAAGAAGCAGCAACCCCAGGCUGAAAUUCAACAAAUAUUGCUGAGGCCCCGGUGUGGGCAAGGCAAUGUUAGGUACAUGAAAGAAUAACAAAAAGACCAAAGAGACCAGGAUCCCUACUUCACCUUUUAUCCACAGAGCCUAGCACAGGAUGUACAGCAGCUUUUCAACAAAUGUUUAUGAAACCAAAUUCAUCUUGCUACCAACUCACAAGUCCAUUUACCUCUCCAGAGUUCAGAUGUCACCUCUUGUUUGAAAAAUUAAAAAUAAAUAAAUAAAAGUGGGUUAGAGCAGCACUUCUCAGUCUUCAGUGUACACA